AUGACUUUCCUUUCUCAGUUCCUGGGGCUGCUGAUGCUCCGGAUCGCUGGAUCCAAUGGGGAAAUCGUGAUGACACAGACCCCACUCUCCCGGCCCAUCACCCCUGGAGAGCCGGUCUCCAUCUCCUGCAGGGCCAGUCAGAGCCUCCUACACAGUAAUGGAAACACCUAUAUAAAUUGGUACCUGCAGAAGCCAGGCCAGUCUCCACAGGGCCUGAUCUAUAGGGUUUCCAACUGUUACUCCUGGGUCUCAGACAGGUUCAGUGGCAGCGGGUCAGAGACAGAUUUCACCCUGAGAAUCAGCAGGGUGGAGGCUGAGGAUGCUGGAGUUUAUUACUGCCAACAAACUCUACAAAAUCCUCCCACGGUGGUCCAGGCCUGCACACAAACCUCCUUCCUCUGGGUGGUGCAGCUGCCCAUGGGUGGUGAUAGUUUGGGGAAGAAGCAGGUUUAG